UCUGUUGUGACUCAGUGGUAGAGCGCUUGCUUAGCAUGCACAAGGCCCUGGGUUCAAUCCCCAGCACUACAA
rnacentral:tRNA from 1 species